AGAGUUUGAUCCUGGCUCAGGAUGAACGCUGGCGGCGUGCCUAACACAUGCAAGUCGAGCGAUCUUCUUCGGAAGAGAGCGGCGGACGGGUGAGUAACGCGUGGGUAACCUGCCCUGUACACACGGAUAACAUACCGAAAGGUAUGCUAAUACGAGAUAAUAUGCUUUUAUCGCAUGGUAGAAGUAUCAAAGCUCCGGCGGUACAGGAUGGACCCGCGUCUGAUUAGCUAGUUGGUAAGGUAACGGCUUACCAAGGCGACGAUCAGUAGCCGACCUGAGAGGGUGAUCGGCCACAUUGGAACUGAGACACGGUCCAAACUCCUACGGGAGGCAGCAGUGGGGAAUAUUGCACAAUGGGCGAAAGCCUGAUGCAGCAACGCCGCGUGAGCGAUGAAGGCCUUCGGGUCGUAAAGCUCUGUCCUCAAGGAAGAUAAUGACGGUACUUGAGGAGGAAGCCCCGGCUAACUACGUGCCAGCAGCCGCGGUAAUACGUAGGGGGCUAGCGUUAUCCGGAAUUACUGGGCGUAAAGGGGUGCGUAGGUGGUUUCUUAAGUCAGAGGUGAAAGGCUACGGCUCGACCGUAGUAAGCCUUUGAAACUGGGAAACUUGAGUGCAGGAGAGGAGAGUGGAAUUCCUAGUGUAGCGGUGAAAUGCGUAGAUAUUAGGAGGAACACCAGUUGCGAAGGCGGCUCUCUGGACUGUAACUGACACUGAGGCACGAAAGCGUGGGGAGCAAAUAGGAUUAGAUACCCUGGUAGUCCGCGCCGUAAACGAUGAGUACUAGCUGUCGGAGGUUACCCCCUUCGGUGGCGCAGCUAACGCAUUAAGUACUCCGCCUGGGAAGUACGCUCGCAAGAGUGAAACUCAAAGGAAUUGACGGGGACCCGCACAAGUAGCGGAGCAUGUGGUUUAAUUCGAAGCAACGCGAAGAACCUUACCUAAGCUUGACAUCCUUUUGACCGAUGCCUAAUCGCAUCUUUCCCUUCGGGGACAGAAGUGACAGGUGGUGCAUGGUUGUCGUCAGCUCGUGUCGUGAGAUGUUGGGUUAAGUCCCGCAACGAGCGCAACCCUUGCCUUUAGUUGCCAGCAUUAAGUUGGGCACUCUAGAGGGACUGCCAGGGAUAACCUGGAGGAAGGUGGGGAUGACGUCAAAUCAUCAUGCCCCUUAUGCUUAGGGCUACACACGUGCUACAAUGGGUGGUACAGAGGGCAGCCAAGUCGUGAGGCGGAGCUAAUCCCUUAAAGCCAUUCUCAGUUCGGAUUGUAGGCUGAAACUCGCCUACAUGAAGCUGGAGUUACUAGUAAUCGCAGAUCAGAAUGCUGCGGUGAAUGCGUUCCCGGGUCUUGUACACACCGCCCGUCACACCACGGGAGUUGGGGGCGCCCGAAGCCGGAUUGCUAACCUUUUGGAAGCGUCCGUCGAAGGUGAAAUCAAUAACUGGGGUGAAGUCGUAACAAGGUA
rnacentral:rRNA from 1 species